rnacentral:rRNA from 1 species
AGCGAACGCUGGCGGCAGGCCUAACACAUGCAAGUCGAACGAACCUUUCGGGGUUAGUGGCGGACGGGUGAGUAACACGUGGGAACGUGCCUUUAGGUUCGGAAUAACUCAGGGAAACUUGUGCUAAUACCGAAUGUGCCCUUCGGGGGAAAGAUUUAUCGCCUUUAGAGCGGCCCGCGUCUGAUUAGCUAGUUGGUUGAGGUAAUGGCUCACCAAGGCGACGAUCAGUAGCUGUUCUGAGAGGAUGAUCAGCCACAUUGGGACUGAGACACGGCCCAAACUCCUACGGGAGGCAGCAGUGGGGAAUCUUGCGCAAGGGGCGAAAGCCUGACGCAGCCAUGCCGCGUGAAUGAUGAAGGUCUUAGGAUUGUAAAAUUCUUUCACCGGGGACGAUAAUGACGGUACCCGGAGAAGAAGCCCCGGCUAACUUCGUG